AUGGAGAGGAGACUGGGAGCUCUGCUGGGGCUUCUGUGUGUUCAGGUUUGCUGGGUGAGAGGGGUGCAGGUGGAGCAGAGUCCUUCAGCCCUGAGUCUCCAGGAGGGAACUAGCCCUACUCUGAGGUGCAAUUUUUCUGCCAGCGUGAACAAUGUGCAGUGGUUCCGACAGAAUCCUGGGGGUGGCCUCAUAAGUCUGUUUUUCAUGGCUUUAGGGACAAAGCAGAGUGGAAGGUUAAAGUCAACAAUGAAUUCUAAGGAACUCUAUAGUACUUUACACAUCACGGCCUCCCAACUGGAAGACUCAGGCACCUACCUCUGUGCGGUGGAGGCACAGUGUCCCCAGCUAACCUGCAGCCCGUACCCAAACUGCAGCUGGCACUGCAGCACCACUUCUUCCACAGGGGAGGCACGUUGUCCCUGCAGUAGCAUUUGCAUGGCUCUGGGUUUUCUGAUUCACAUUGUAGCACUUUUAUCUCUGCUAAAAUUAAACGUUUCAGGACUGUCAUUUAACUUUUGGGGGACUCCUUUCCUUCUAGAUAUCUUUUUGCAGGAAAUAAAGCUCUAA